AAUUUCAAAAAUAAAUUAUGCUCUUAUCCUUUGAAUCGCCACAAUAUUAUUAUUAGAUAUAAAUGAUAAAUUCGAAAUUACAAAAUGAAUUCGCAUCGCAUCGUUGAUUUACAUCGGAAUUUAUGUGCCUCGAUACCUUGCAUACUUCAAAUAAAUGGAACCAAACAGUUUAUUUAGGUAUGCCUCUAAUUUCUGACUAGAAUAUUUUGUUUCGCUCUUCUAUACUGUAACAUACUUAAUAGUUUCUUCCAAAUUUUCAUCUAGCUAAUUUAGUCCAAAUUAAGCUAUAGAAACCAAUUCAUACAGACAAUACCGGGCGUCGUGAGAAACAAAUGAAUACUUUCCUACAUUGUGGCAGUUUUAUAUGAAUUCGGCCGCCAUUUUCUCCCGCCAAGCUUAAUAGUUAACCUAUAUUCUAUGUGUAAACAUAAACGCAUUGGCUGGUGUUAUAAACAGUCGGUUUGAGAAGCGCGCAGUAAACGUGGCGCAUUUUCAUUGGAGUUGUUACAUUUCAAGUAACAUCAAUUAAUAUUACGCUAAUACUGCAACAAACAUUACGUGUGUUAUGAAUGUAGCUAUAUAUUACCUAAGAGAUAUAACCCUAAAACAUAAUUCGCAGAUGUUACUCCCAAACUUGUGCUGCAAAAAUUGAACGCUGACAAAAAUAAUACUAGCGACACUAUAUUGGUAUUUUCCUGUUUAUGACUAUGGUAAAUCAUAUCCUCGAGUUAAUUAUAACAUUUUAAACCGUGAAUUUACGCCAAUAUUCAUAAUUCCAAAUAUUUUCAACUUUUAAUUGACAAAAUUACAGAUUGUUCUUCACUUGUUUCGGAUCCAAGAGCAUUUUGCUAAGCCUUCAAGGUUACCCCUUAAUGGAUAAUAAACCAUGUGUUGUCCUCAACGAAUUUGUUUUCGAAGUUAAAUGUUGUCAUGGGAAUGGGGGCAACUAGCGCCACCUGUCAGCUUGGCCGUGAAUUAUAGUCGCGACGCGGAACGCAACUGAAUCAUUUCUAUUACGCUGACUGACAUACGAAUGAGUAUUGUUUAGCAGUUUUCUAAUAUGAUAGAAAUAUGUUCCCCACGUAUUUUUCCAUUUCUGGGCACAUCUUUUCAUUUUUUGAGCAGCUAAAUCGAUUCGUAAUAGACAUUUAUAAUAAUGUCAUAAGUUCCAUUGAACUAGUAAUUUCAUCUCCGGCUUCCGCUGUGGCCUAUAUAACCUACAGCUUGCGUUAAUUAAUUAAUGCGUCUAUGAUAAGGUUGGCAUUACCACAUGAUCUAUUGAAAAAAUCAGCACAUUUGCGACUUUGCUUGCAUGAAAAAUAAGUACCUACUCUUUGCCAGCUAGAGGGCAUAAAGUAGAAAUCGGCAUGUUCUUUUAUAUAUUUUCGGGUAUGGAAAAAGGCAAUUCAGGAAUGGAGGCCGUAAAAAGUUUAAAUACGUCGAACAACGUUAACAAAUUUAUCACUUCGCCAGCGUCCCGUGCUCGUAAAUAAUCGAACAUGUUGAGAAAAUCUGUAAAAUGUAAAACAUUUUUCUCGUUGUUACUGCAGCCAUUUUGUAAAUAAACAAACUACCGGAUGUCCUGACCCGCAUUCAUAAGUUUUUGCGAUGAUUUGUUGAAGCUCGUGCGAAAAAAUGAGCCUGACCUAAACUGUAUGAUAAUAAAUGCCAUUGUUUUUGUUGUUCAAUUCAGCCUUCGAAGUGUUUUUGUAUGACGUAGGCAAAGGACAGCUCCCUACUCGUCAGUUGAACUUCCAUAACACUCGUUUAAAUGCUAGACUUAACCGGCGCGACAAUUGAAUGUCGUUGAACUCUACAAUUACGUAAGGACAUCUGUGUCCAUUUGUCUUGUUUCAAUAAUUACUCAUUUGUAAUGUUCUUGCUUUUAAAUUACUUUCCAAUCUUGAAACAAUCGUUCCGCGUUAAAUGUACGCCGUGACGAAUUUUCAAUAAACCGCAAAGCACCGCUGUUAGUCAUCAACGUAACAAUGAAUUACUACUGCAAGUUUCCACUAACCAUUGUUAGAUUACCAUCAAUAAGAUAAGUUCCAGUGGACUGUUAAAAUCGACUCCUACAAGUUUGUGCGAUAUUUAUAACGAAUCCAUUACUCACAAAUUGCUAAGCGUUACUGAUAACAUUGUAGAUAAUUAGGGUAUCUGCUUAUAAUCUUAUCAGUUGUUGAUAUUUCAAGAAGUACUGUCCACCAUUCGUAUGAUUUCCGUUGCAGUUUAAAGUUCUACCAAAAAAUGUGAUCCCGUCAUUUUAAUGUCAUCCUUGACGUUCUGCCUAUCGUUAUAUACAAAUUGUGUCUAUGCCGUUACGUACUCAUGGCUGCUCCCGCCUUCAUUCUUCCCCUAAUCUUGAUUCUUGACCUGGAGUAUCCUUGAUCCACUCGAGCACGAAAAGGAUGCAAUUUAUCCAGUAACCAAUUGACGGGUUUAUUGUUAUGCGUUAACAAGCGAAUUUAACAGAGAGCGUCGACCUGAAAAUAACGCUGUCAUUAAAUGAAAAAUAGCUUUAAAGAAAACAAACCUAAACUUGUAGACCAUUACUAUAUGGAUGUGGUUGAACAUUAGAGAACUGGCUAUACUUAAUAAUAGUUCGUUAGUCCUUGAUCUUAAAACUGCACCGUAGGCUCAGAUUCUGUAAGACAUAUGACCUCUUUUUAAGCAAGUCUUAUGUCAUCAAUUCUAUAUUGUCUCUGCUCUUUAUCGCUAUAUCUGUCCUUAUGACGUCACGGGCUAAUUAGUUGAAGAGCGGGAACGCACGGAGGUCACAACAAUGUGACGAUGCUCUUCAUGACAAAUGUUAAUACACCGAGUGGGUGGCUUCGUUAUAAUCCUGCGUUGAAGCAGUAAAUUGAGUGUUUGUUAACUAAUCUAGUGCAUAUUGUGUGUGAACACUGGAACGUAAAUAACUGAAUGCAAAGCUUGGGUGAAAUUCCCGUGCCACAAGCUUAGUUAGUGUUUGCUUUUCGCAUCAAAUUAAAAUGUUAGGAAAUACGUUUUGUUUUCGCUUAAUUUUGCACGGAAAAUAAAUGAAUCUAUAUUUAUACUUCUUAUCAGUAUGAGCCUUGUUUAACAAGUGCGUAAACUAUGAUGUUAAAAUAAUUAGUGACUCUUUUCCUUUUUACCAAUUUGCCCUAACGCAAUAACCCACCACCAAGUGACCAAGCUCAUCGUUUCUCAUCGAAAGCCCAAGUCAAACAACGAAUUAAAACCGGUUCGGAAGCAAAUCCGGAAUGUCUAGACCACUGUGUGGUAGAAACAGCGUAAAAAUUAUUAAUGCGAGAGAGCAGUGCAUUACUCGCUAAGGGAUAAACCCUCACGACUUGCUCAGAAUAUAAAAAGGAACCUUGAUAUAAUUUUUAUUAACCUCCACAGAUUACAUUUGUGGGCCACAGACUCAUAAACUGGAUUACUACAAAGUUGCCUUUGCUUUAUUAAAAUGCUGAAUGGAUUUUACAAUUCGUACUCUGUUUAUUGAGUUUUUACAAUCAUGAUCUUGUGUGACCUUAACAGAACACAGCUAAGAGACGAGUUUAUUAUAUCUCAAAUAUAUUUCACUAAAAUAUUGAAAUAGAGGAUAUUGAGUAAAGCUAAGCCCGUGAAGAAUCCUCACUUAUGAACUACAGGACAGCGAUUACUUACCUCUAAAUACAUGGGCAAAAUCGUUCGGGGUGAGGAUUGGUUUUGAAACUUCCAGUUACGCAUAAUUAAGAUUCCGUGCAAGAGUUAACAAAAGAUCCUCUGCCGACGUUUCAUCCCGGCAGGGGACCGUCGCAAGGUCAGUAGAUUGAUUGAUUUGGCAGAGAUUGGUGUACCCGAUACAAAAUAAAUAAAGAAUAAAAUAUAAUCAUGAUCAUGAUGAUGUGGAAUAUGACUUCUAGGUAAAGAAAGACCUAUUCUUAAAGGAAGGAAUGGUUAUACCUGCAGUACUUUAGACAGUUUUCCAUGUUUCUAGAGUUUUCAAUCAAUUUAGAAUGCUCGUCUCAUGUUUGUUAAUGAUACCGUAGAUACCGUUAUAGUUCCACAACCUACCUCAACUGGCCCAACGUAUAAUUUGAAGGUUCUACAAAAUACCAAGCGCCAUCUUUAAAAAUACCAACAUUAUAAUAUGCAAAUUACACAAAGAAAACAAUCUUAUUCCAAAUUGAACCCAACAGUAAUGAUGACAAGGUAUAAUUUAAAAAACCGCGCCGCUUUGUGAUUUUGUUGUGAAUAUAAAUCGUCGAUCAUUUGAUGUCUUUGUGUGAUGCAAGCUCUAUUCUAUCUUUAUUUUCGUCUUAAAUGUUAUGCUAUUUAAUGAAUUUAUUUAUUUUAGACCAUUGACCUCAUUUAACUUUAAAAAUGUAUUGUAACUUUCAAGAUUCAUGCGUGAGGCUGUGUGUGAAGCUGAAAAUGUUUGUUUAAUAGUUGAAAUAGUUCGAAAUCCACAUCUAUUCUAAUAGCUACCUAUAAUUUAAAAUGUCUAAGAUAAUUAUGUAUUCUAGCUUUUCUACGAUGAUCAUCGAUACCAAAAUAAAUAGGUGUGAACUGAUCACAGUGUAUUUAUAUUGGGACCGGUGUGUAAGGAACUGGUGUGAAAAUAAUAAUAAGUGUGCCACGACAUUUAUUUUUAAAUCUACGAUCGACAUGCAGGGGUGUUCUAAAGAUGACAUUUUAAACGUUGUGUGAUAAUGUGUGCUAACUGUGGAACUCCUUAAAGAGAGAUAAAUCAAUAUCCUAACGUGUAAUUUAAUGUCUACUUAAUGUUCGACUACAAGGUAAUGACAAAUUAAUUUUUAAUGAAUAAUUAUCGGAUAUAAAUAGGUAAAAAGUGCAUAUUUAUCGACGUUAUGUAUAAAUUGUCUUGCAUUUCUGGCAAAUUCUUGCGCCAUCAUAUUUUUGGUAGCCUCGAUAAUGUGCUCAAAUAAGUGCUUGUGUGCUCCCCGAUGCAAGGGAACUUCACACAAACAAGGAUGCUGUAAAGGAGUAGUUAUUAAUAUUGUGUAAAUAAACAUAUUGUAAGAUAACUUUGUUUCCUCUAGGAUAAGUGUUGAGAACAUUCACAUUUUAUUUGUGUUAAGAAAUUCCAAGUAAUUGGGAGUGUUUAACUAAAGGUGCGUACUUAUUUGUGAAUGUACUGAAUAAAUAACGGAUUUUUACAUUUUGAAUAAACUUUGACGUUGACAAAUGUCAAAUGGCGACCCGCCAUGUUGUCAGGUCGAUAGCCGUAUGUCACAAAUGAGUGAACACUACAUUUCAUCUUCUUGUGCUCUAUGUAGUUAAGAUCCUAAUAAUAGCUAAUUAGGUGCCUGAGCGAAAAUUAAUUUAUAUUGAACUGUAACAUAGUGAGAUAAAAUAUGUAGAAUUAUUUUUUAAUAUUAUAAAAGUGUAUAUACUAGUAGGGGUUUGGAUCGAGCGACUGGCGACUGCGUAGGCAAUGAAGAUUGGAAAAUCUAGAUUAAUCCUAACAAGUCCACUUGAUGCGCUGCCGAGCGGGGUAUCGGGGCUGCGUACGUAUCAAACACUAUUAUUAACUGUAGACUACACUAUAAAUCAGUGUAUCCUCAGUUAACACUAUUCUUAUUGUAGCUAGCGGCGCACAAUCUAGGGUUUCAACGUGAUAUCGUCUGCUGCAGUUGCAGUCGCUUACUCGAAAGCUCUAAUUUGAUCUAAACGUAUUUUUGUUAUUGGAUAUUAAGCUGCACAUAUCUAUGAAACCGACCUUCGAUUAAAAGCUUCUGAUAACGCCGAAGUUGUGUAUUAUGCUACGAUAUGUUCUACAACUAGAUUCUCAAAACUCACACGAUUCCUAAAGACCAUUAAAGUUUUAUUUAAUCUUCAUUUGUUCGUUACAUUACAAAACGGCUUUUGGAUUUAUAUUUUUUGUCUGGCCACAAUAAGAGCAUGACAAAUGCAUUUUUAAACGCGCAAGGUUGAAUUCUUGCACAUAUUUCUUGAUAAAAACUGUCUAACAAAGCCUGAGUCCCAAAGAAUAAGCAAAGCGAAUAAAUGGCGUGCUUCGAUAACAUCUGAAGCGUCGCGCCACGCGACUCACGGCGGAAAGUGAGCUCGCCUCGCCGCGUAACUUACACUGCAUGCUUUCUGCAACCUUAGUAACGCGAUGUGACCAUGUAUUAUCCGGGCAACCCUGAACCGGAUACGAUAUUCUCGACAACUGCAUGAAGAGUACCGACAAAUUGCUACAGAUAUUUCAAUAAUCCAAAUUGUAUACUUUUGAUAUAAAUAUUUGACACAGGAAUCGUUGUCAAGGUUUAUUUUUAUCUCGAUAUUUUGCUAUUUUCUUCGACGCCUGAUUUAACGAGAGAACAUUGGUGUACAUGCCUCCUUGUUUAAAAUUGCCAAACUCUAGAACCUAGUGUAAUUUUAAAAUAAUAGAAAGUUUAACUAUGUAUAUGUAGCUAUUUCAAUAUCAUAAUGGCAGACUGUACGAUAUGGUCAAUUAACUCCAUUGAGGCACAAAAAUGGGCAACUGAUGACCAUAAACUAUAGCUGUGGGUAGAUAAAGGUUACGUUUUAUUUUAUUAUUUGGUAGUCCGGUGUUUUCUCCGUUUACCGAACUCCUUCACUCCAAGACAUUAUUCGUAAGGGACAGCAAAAUCAGUUCCAUUCCAUUACUUGUCGCUAUUUAAUUUGUCAUGUUGGAGACAAUUAACCAUCAUACGGAUUUCAAUUAACAUCGAAGGUACAUUAGCGGUCUGUGUUUGAUUCAACAUGAGUGACGUCAUUGUGACAUUCAAAGCUUUCCGCUUAGCAAAUGUUGGUAAAUCGUAACACAUAAUCUUCAUCAUAAAAGUGGUUGGUCUUGAAUAUUUUGGUUGAAGUUUAUGCUCAGUUUUAUAUGCAAAAUGACUAACCGAAAACAUUAUACGGAAAGUAUGAAGCUUUAAGAUUUUUACAAUGUAACCGCUGCUGAACAUUCGAUACAAGUCUAUACUUUCUGGUGGUUGUUCACCCCUCAAUACAAAUUUACAAUACUUCUGAGACCUACUGAAUAUACUAUAAUAUCGCUCGUCUCAUAACCUUUUACGUGACAUUGGUGACUGCACGAGUUUGUCACUGAGCGAAUAUUUCGUUGACGUCACCUUAUGACGAACGCGUGUUUUUCUGUAACGUAAUUUUCAAUAUUUUCCUUUACGAUGGAAUAAAAUUAUAUCAGAGGAUACCAGAGUUGAUUUUUACCAUAUUUUUACAUGCAAAAGUUUUCUAGCUGCUACUAAUGUCAACCUUAUCGCUAGAUUAAAUAUACUUGAAAUAUUUAUUGUCUCGGCCGGCCGUCUUGCUAACUAAUGUUUUACCUAGAUACUUACUACAUCUUGCACCAGUUACACAGUCAUGCUCUAAGUCAUUUCCAUACAAUAUGCAGGUGUAAAAAGUGCUCCUAUAAUGUGAUUAGAGCUACAGAUAUCAGUCCAUUUAAAAUCACGUGUAAAUAUAACAACGUGAUCAACAAUACCGCCGUGGCUUGUUAAGAACUUUAUUUUUAUAUUGCCGUUAUCAAUGUUAUCAGUAGGCCCUAAUGCCAUCGUAAUGUUACUUAUUUAACCAUAAAUUAUAUUUAUGAUAAUGAUGUUAACCGCAAAUUGACUUUUAAAUUUGAAUAUUGCUUUGACUUUUCAUAUUUCUAAGAUAAGUAACUUGCAUUGUAAUUAUUUAUGAAUUUUGCGUGCGAACCUCUAAAUUUUGUUCAAAAAAACUAUUUGACUUAGGAAAAAAUUACCUUUGUGAUAAAACGAAUUCCCGCGACCGUUAAAGUAUGAAUUUAUGUUUUUUUUUUUAUCAGACUAGGUUUUAGGUCUUAUGUCCCGAUUCUAUUAAGUGUUUUUUAAAAGGCUACAAACAAACAUCAAUGCAUAGAUAUUCCCAUUUUCAUUGUGAUAAUAAUUAUGCAAGUUAUAUGUAGUUGACAAUAAUACAUUUCAAUUGCAUAUUGAAGACAAUAUCACUAAAGCAAAUAACAAUGCGUCAUAAUAAGUUACUUUCCUUUGCCUACUUAGCGAUUGCAAAUGAGAAAGUUAUGCGUAUGCCUUGCCUUUGACUUUUAUGACGUUUAACUUAACUUCUUGAUUAUUUGUAACCUUAUUCCUAUCGAUCUUUUAUUAUUUUAAUAAUUAAGUCAAAUACUUAUUUAAAACAUUAUUGCAUAUAAUAAAUAAUAAUAAAUGCGGAUCUUCUGUGACCCUAAAUAAAAAUCAACAUGCCCUUGAAAUACCUGUGUAGGCAUGUCACUAAAGAAAAUGCGAGCGUCUUUCGCAACAAAUUAAAAUAAUUUAAAAAUAUCUUCUAAGAGUCUUAUAAUAUUACGAGACCUUCUGAGAAGCGAGCCCUCGAGACGACCUGCGACAUGCCACUUGACUCCACAAAGUCCAAUUAUCAAGACAGCUUUAUAGGUAUCGAUAGAUAACGUUGACUAAGAGUGAUGACGUAAAUGUGUUUGAUAAGUUUAUGUGAAUAAAUCUAAAUUUGCUAUUUAUAACCUUAAAGGAACUUUAUUAACAAGACGUAAACAUUGAAGCAAGUUUAUGUGACGUUAUUUUCAUUUUUGAAGUUUUUGUAAAGGGUUGCGAAUGAAACAACUUCGGCUGACGCUGUCGGAAAAAAAAUGUGAAGUGGGUAGAACAAAAAAGGGCGUGGGCGGUUAAAUUUCUAUCUGAAAAUCCUCUUUCGUAGGUAGUAUUAUAUGUAUCUACCUGCCUUUUCAAUACGAACAUUGCGUAGGUGAUAACUCAUUGACUGAAAGUAAAUACUUUUUAUAGCAAUUUUGUAACGUAGGCAGGUAGGUGAAACUUGGUAUUGGCAGCCGUGAAUUCUUAAUUGUUUAUACCCUUGGAUGUAACAACUCGCUAAUUUGAAAAGUAUUGAACUUGGCAGUCUCCACACGAUAGCAACAACCCAAUGCAGUAAAGUUCAAGGUUAGGUUAUAAUUUGAAUACGUUGUAACAAGGAAAUUAGCAACACGCGAGAAUGUUGACCCAUCGAAAUUGUUCGAAAAUAACGGUUUUAACGCUUAUGUCUACCCAAAUUAACAUUAUAAUUUACAAAAUAUUUAAAUUGCGGUUUGGAAAUCUUACAUUUCGAUUUGAUAGACAUAGACAGCGGGUUAUUUUUUUAUUUUGCAACUGUGCAAGAUUUUAACGUAACUUUAAGUAUUAGAGCUAUACCUAGCAACCAAUAAAAAGCAUUUUAUUGUAGACACAUCUGAAGUCACUGAACCCCAUUAGACUUGAAUUGUUAUCCUUUGUAACAAACAUAAAACCAAAGUUGAACUGCCAGUACCUAAAUAAAAGUAUCCAUGAAAUUAGAUCGUAACUGGUCUCUCUUUUAUUCAGGAAAAUUACCUAUCUAGGAUUUGCGUCAGUCUGCAAGAGCAAGAUUCUGAAACUGAAACGUGUUUUGUGACGUCAAUGACGUAUCUUGGUGUUUAAAAUUAACUUUGGCACUAUUAAUGUAAUGCCAUUGCCUUUUAUGACUUUAUACGAUUCAAUAAGGCGCCUGUUGUUAAUAUUUAACGAGAUCCUGAAUCCACCCACAGCCAUGGUUACACGACGAUAGAAAACAUAUUUUAUAAGUACUGUACAAUGGAGGCGAAGCAUUUCCACCAGAGUGAGAUAUUUAUUUUACCUAACAAUGUAUUUAAAAUUAUAUUUUAAUAGUAACAGUACAAGUGUUUUAUCGUAAUGUUUGAUUUCAUAUACUGUGAGAUUGUAUUAUAUGCACAAGGGUAAUCCUAUAGACUAUAUUAGUUAUUACGUAGACAGACAUCUGGCAGAAUGUGUGAUGUCUUUGCGUGUUCAGCUGUUUGUAACAUUCAUCAUCAAUGUUUACCUCUAUGGUAUCUACUAAAUGUAAGAAAAUAAGAAUUUUCAAGCUAUAUCAUCGAUAGCUAGAUGUAGAUACUAAAAUUAAGUAAAGUUUUCAUAUUCUAGAUGUUGUGAUCUCUUAUCUAUGUAGAUUAAUUUGUAUUACAAUAGAUUACUGUAAUAUUGUGUUAAUGUUCAUCUCAUAUUUAGAUGUUUAGUCUGUCUACGUAAUAUCUGUGUAGUGAAUGUAAUAUAUUGUCAUAAUACGCCGCGAUGUCACAGUGAGGGGGAACACUUCGUAGUGUGUGCUCCUACCCACCAUGCUGUGCUUCUAUGUUGAGAACAUUAAAUAAAUCUGAUUGUAGUCACA